CACAGCCCUUUUUGAGGAGCUGCGAAGGGUGCACAGGCCAGUAGCUGGAGGUUCUUUGGUACCCCCUCCUUUUAGGUGGGGUCAGCAGACACAGGGGCGCCAUGUGGCCGAGUUACCAAGAUGAACACGAGUUCAACGCCCACCUGGUUUGUCGCAUGUGCUGUAUGGAUGAACGGGACCGGGUUCAGAAGAAAACGUUCACCAAGUGGGUCAACAAGCACUUAAUGAAGGUCCGCAAGCACAUCAACGAUCUUUAUGAAGAUCUGCGGGAUGGCCAUAACCUGAUCUCUCUGUUGGAGGUCCUCUCAGGCAUCAAACUGCCCCGGGAGAAGGGCAGGAUGCGUUUUCAUAGGCUGCAGAAUGUGCAGAUUGCCCUGGACUUCCUAAAGCAGCGACAGGUGAAACUAGUGAAUAUUCGCAAUGAUGACAUCACAGAUGGCAACCCCAAGUUGACCCUGGGUCUGAUCUGGACCAUUAUUUUGCAUUUCCAGAUUUCGCUCUUGUUGCACAGGCUGGAGUGCAAUGGCACCAUCUCGGCUUACCAAAACCUCUGCCUCCCAGGUUCAAGCGAUUCUCCUGCCUCAGCCUCCCAAGUAGCUGGGAUUACAGGCGUGUGCCACCACGCUCAGCUAAUUUUUUUAU
rnacentral:sRNA from 1 species